AUACGUCAUCCUGUAACCGGUCAAAUCGUCCCCGUCGCACGUCAUCCUGUGACCGGCCCAAGACCUCACCCUGGAGCUGCGCGCCCUCUUGUUGGCGUAAAACCAUUGACGGUCAAGCCUCCUCGGCCAGAGCGUUGCCUUACAAGGAAUGGAUCUAUAUCAAAUCUCCUGGUCCUGGUUAUAAUAGACUGCACCCCCUUGUGCCGAAUCUCCUAAAGUUAGCCCUAUGACGAAAAAAGUGCCGAGAGACGUGCAUUGGAUUGAGAGCGAGUUUUAUCCUCCACCUCAGGAUCAGAAUGAGGCAAAUGACUCUUGCGGUGGAUGCUGGGCCUACGCAAGUGCCAGCGUCAUGGAGAUUCUUGUAUCGCGGAAACUACGGCAAGUUACUCGGCUCUCUAAACAACAGUUGCUCGACUGUGAGAAGGAGAACAACGGAUGCGAUGGCGGCGACCUCGAAAACGGUCUCCAUUACAUCAUGGAAACCGGGCUGGCACUUGAAAGGGACUACUCGUUCACAGGAAGAGGAGGGGGCACUUGCAAGAACGUUUCCGAUAAAAUCAUAGUUCGCAUAAAGGAGAUGGAAUUCAGUGAUUCCGCAAGUGAAAUCAUAUCGGUCUAAAAAAUUCUCCGAUGCCUCUCAGCUUCUACGCCCCAUAUGGUAUUCAGGUAAUCUCGUCCGGUGGCGUGGAGUGCUUUGCGAUAUAUUGAUUGAUCUGCCAUUUCAACCUAUGGAAAAAGAUCGAUAUUCAGGGUGUUUGCAGUAGAGUACCUAUGUAGAGAGAGUAUGGACAUGUCGAAAAUUUUGAGGUUAGGUGAUGGAGCUCUUAGACCCCAAGAGAGUAGGCAAUCUAUGAAUUCAAAUUAUCCAGAGUGA
rnacentral:lncRNA from 1 species